AUCGCUUCUCGGCCUUUUGGCUAAGAUCAAGUGUAGUAUCUGUUCUUAUCAGUUUAAAAGUUUGGGGUUGCAAGGACAUGAAAAUGUCCUCUAAGGCAGUGGUUCUCAACCUUGGCUCACAUUAGUAUCACCUGGGAACCUUUUAAAAAUCCUGAUUUCUGGUCCUCAUCCUCCGGAAAUUCUGUUUCUAUGUUACUAAUGUUGUGGUCCCACC
rnacentral:snRNA from 1 species